rnacentral:rRNA from 1 species
CAAACGACUCUCGGCAACGGAUAUCUCGGCUCUCGCAUCGAUGAAGAACGUAGCGAAAUGCGAUACUUGGUGUGAAUUGCAGAAUCCCGCGAACCAUCGAGUCUUUGAACGCAAGUUGCGCCCGAAGCCAUCAGGCCGAGGGCACGUCUGCCUGGGCGUCACG